UUUAAGUAUUUAGUAAUAAGUUUAAGUAUUUAGUAUUAAGAAUAAGUAUUUAGUGUUAAGAGUUAGUAUUUAGUUGAGUUAAGUUUACUUUCAUUGAUCUUAAUGUAUCUCACCACUGAUGAAUUGUCUUCCUCUGAAUCAGUUCCUGCUCCUCUGUUAACAGUCUUCUUACUCCAGCUUCAGCCUCAACAGCAACAGUUAUCACCUGCCAGAACACCUGCUCCACCCUCCAGCCUCCACCUGUUACUUCUACCAGACAAAACAUCAGCCUUGAGCUGCAGCCUGUGAGAUGACAGACUCCUCUCCACCUGCAGCCGCUGUCUCUCUGUUGCCUACAUCCUCUACCAGCAGCUUCAGCAUCAAACUGCUGCCUCACUCUUCACCUGCAGCCUCUGUCAGCAACCUGCAGCCAUCUCCUCCAACUGCACAUUCUGUUGAAUGGCUGAACCUCCAUCUACAGCCUUUGCCAGUGCCUAUACCUCUCGAAGUGAACUGCUAUCCGAGCCUCCACCCACAGCCUCUGUCAGCAACCUGCAGCUUCCGCCUCCACCUGCAGAUUCCUACAGCCAUCUGAAGACGACCACUGGGGGAGUGGUCGUCUUCAGAUGAAGAUCCCCACAGAAAGCUGUGGCCAAACCUCCACCUACAGCCUCUAUAAGGAAACCUGCACAGAUGUUAUCCUACUGCCAUGUGGAGACCUGAGUGGAACAGCAAGGACCAGAGAAACACACGUGUUUUCAAACGUUGUGAAAGACUGAGCUCACACUCCUCAACAUGAACCUGACUGACUGUGAUGAUGCCUUCAUGAAACGAGAGAGCUCCACUAUCUACCAGGAGCUGCUUCAGGGCCCUGAGGACAACUCCUUUUACAACAGCUCUGUUCCAGAGAUGCUUCCUCCUCCUCCACAUCCUCCACCUUCACCACCCCUCCUGCUCAUCGCCAGAACUAAGAGUGCCCCACCCCAUCUCAGCAACCACCACCAGUUUCUCCUGCAGCCACCGCCUCCAUAUGUAGAUUCUGACAGACACUGCUGACAGCCAAACCUCCUCCUACAGCUUCUGCCAGUGCACCUGCGUCUACACCUCUUGAAGCCAACUGCGGCUGAACCUCCACCCACAGCCUCUGUCAGCAACCUGAACCAGCACCUACACCUCUCGUACACUACUGCCAUCCAAACCUCCACCUGUAACCUUUGCCAGCCGCCUGAAGACACCUCCUCCACCUGAAGAUCCCCACAGAAAGCUGGGGUCAAACCUCCACCUUCCGCCUCUAUAAGGAAACCUGCACAGAUGUUAUCCUACUGCUAUGGUUGGAUCUAAGUGGAACAGCAACGACCAGAGAAACACUGGUGUUUCCAUACGUUGUGUGAAAGACUGAGCACACACUCCUCAACAUGAACCUGACUGAUUGUGAUGAUGCCUUCAUGAAACAGAAAGAGCUCCUCUUCCUCCCACUUGCCUUGUUGGACUUCCAGAUCAAGAGAUGCUUCCUCCUCCCUAUCGUGCACGUUCACCACCCUUCCUGCUCAUUGCCAGGACUAAAAAUGCCCCUCCCCAUCUCUGCAACCACCAGCACUUUCUACGCAUGCCGAUUCAUUGAAGGCCAAAGAUUGCAGAGACGCUCCACCCGAGACUUCAGUGCCUUACUUUUCCAACAACGCCCCCUAAUACGACGUCCAAUGUGCUCUUUUAAGCCUCUGCACUGUUUUACAAUAAAUGAACUAUUGUCUGCAACCAUCUGAUCAGUAAUUUGAGACCAGAAUAAUUUGUAUAAAACAGAUCCUAAGGAUAUGAUUGUUUUUGUGUGUUUAAGUUGAAGUGUGUUCCUUUGUCAUGGUAUAUUAAUUAUUAGUCGCCACUUAUUUAGGGUUUAUAUUAAUACAUUAAUAACAUUAACACAUUCACUUUCUAGUAAUUCAUCAUGUCGGAAUUUCUUGAGCCAAAUGUACAAAGACAUCUGACACAAAAUGUAAUUACUGCAAUUACGGCUAUUUCAGCCAAUACAACAUUUCCACAAUCUCAUCUGAAAUAUCAACAAGUAUCAUUGAAAUGCGUAUUAAAUAAAUAAAAAGCGUGUUGUUUCAAUUUUCCAAAAUAAAGUUUAUUUUUCCUCUACAUUUAAGGUGAAUUCUAAAUAUGAACCAAAUAUACCAAGAGUCACAAUAUGUCAAAGCCAGACAUUUAAUUAUAUAAUAGCCCACUAUAUAUGUACAGUUGAAAUAAUACAGAUAACAUAUUCACACCAAUUAAACAAUUAAACAAAUGCUAAAUAACUUCAAUAUGAAGUGGGGUUCAGAGAUGAUCAGGAUAUUCAAGAAACAGUUAACAAACAGAAAAUGAUUAAAGAAUAUUUUGUUAGAGAUUGAAGAACAUUGUUAGAGCAGCUUACGAAAUAAUAAGUCAUGAAAUGUGAAAUUCAGUCAUUUACACUAUAUAAAAGGAGAAAUGAUUGUGUGAAGUCAAACAGCUAAUCGUAAAUACAGCAUGGCCCUUUUUCAAUUGUUGCCACAUUAUAUACACAUCCAGUCUCUUUUAGGCAGCUUUUUGGACAGGAAUAAAGACAUUGUGUCCUAGCAUUGCAAACUCUUAUGUAUAAUGUCACCUAUUUGUUCUGUCCCUUUCAAACAUACAUUGAAUUUGAGAUGGUCAGGUACUGGAAUAGCACAUACACUUUGAAUAGUACAGUACGGUAAAUCCAGGGAAAUGUUCUUAACAGCAAAUAUAUAAGAAACACAUUGUAAACAUGUAUAGGAGCACAUUUCAAGAUUGUUAGGGCUUUAGACAUUAGUCUGGUAUAUACAAAAUAUUACAACUAUAACAACACAUCCAAAGCAGCUCCAAAUAUAAUUUCUGGCUGAAAGUGUCCCUCUCUAUGGUUGUUGCUGGUAUUGUCCCUCUGUGGCGGUGUAGAAGUCGUCCAGGACACUCUGCAGGUACUCGAAGGUGGGCCUGUCUUCAGGUUUGUGCUUCCAGCAGGACGUCAUGAUGGCGUAGAGCUCGUCAGGACAGCUGUCAGGCUGAGGCAUCCUGUAGCCGCGCUGCACCGAGGAAAUCACCUCUCCUUUGGUCAUACCUGAGGAGAACACAGGCAGGCAUGCAGAUCACUGCGGUCAAACCUCCACCUUCAGCCACCUGAAGAAGACCACUCCCCCUGAAGAUCCCCACAGAAAGCUGUGGCCAAACCUCCACCUACAGCCUCUAUAAGGAAACCUGCACAGAUGUUAUCCUACUGCCAUGUGGAGACCUGAGUGGAACAGCAAGGACCAGAGAAACACACGCAGAUAUAGUCCUUCAGUUAAUAUGCAAACAUAUUUCUGUGUUAUUAAAGCUGGCUCUCUGUUUACAUUCUGUUCACUUGUUCUUCUUCUCACAGGUGUUUUCAAACGUUGUGAAAGACUGAGCUCACACUCCUCAACAUGAACCUGACUGACUGUGAUGAUGCCUUCAUGAAACGAGAGAGCUCCACUGUACGUACAGUAUAGCAAUCUACCAGGAGCUGCUUCAGGGCCCUGAGGACAACUCCUUUUACAACAGCUCUGUUCCAGAGAUGCUUCCUCCUCCUCCACAUCCUCCACCUUCACCACCCCUCCUGCUCAUCGCCAGAACUAAGAGUGCCC